ACUCGAGUGGCGAACGGGUGAGUAACACGUGGGUGAUCUGCCCUGCACUUCGGGAUAAGCUUGGGAAACUGGGUCUAAUACCGGAUAGGAGCCAUCUUUAGUGUGGUGGUUGGAAAGUUUUUUAGGUGUAGGAUGAGCUCGCGGCCUAUCAGCUUGUUGGUGGGGUAAUGGCCUACCAAGGCGGCGACGGGUAGCCGGCCUGAGAGGGUGUACGGCCACAUUGGGACUGAGAUACGGCCCAG
rnacentral:rRNA from 1 species